UAUUUUUUCUACUUAGAUAUACAUUCAUAUUACUUCCAUUUAUUCCUCUCCCCUUUCAGAACAAAGUAUUCAUACAAAAACUGCGUCCCCUUCCCCCACACUUUUGAAGCACCAGACAUGACUGAGCCACCAAAAUAUGCGUAUCCCUAUCCCGCUCAAGGUUAUUACCAAGGUCCUCCACCUCCAGUAAUGGCACCUCCACAAUAUUAUGCCCCUGCUCCUCCACCCCGGAGAGAACCCAGUUUCCUCGAGGGAUGUCUCGCUGCUUUAUGUUGCUGUUUCCUAAUUGAUGAGUGUUGCUGCGACCCCUCCAUCAUUUUCAUUAGCUGAUCCUUGAACAAAUUAAUAUUUUCUGUCUGCACUGAUGAAUGUACUGAUGCAUUAUAAGAUAAUUGCAAGCAUUUUUAUUUUAAUUUUAGUUUCAUCAUCUUGAGUAGUUUAAAUGUUUAACCGUC